GACAGAGGAUGCAAGCGUUAUCCGGAAUGAUUGGGCGUAAAGCGUCUGUAGGUGGCUUUUCAAGUCCGCCGUCAAAUCCCAGGGCUCAACCCUGGACAGGCGGUGGAAACUACCAAGCUGGAGUACGGUAGGGGCAGUCCAAUUAAUAUACUAGAGGUGGAGCGGUGAAAUGCGUAGAGAUCGGGAAGAACACCAACGGCGAAAGCACUCUGCUGGGCCGACACUGACACUGAGAGACGAAAGCUAGGGGAGCAAAUGGG
rnacentral:rRNA from 1 species